rnacentral:rRNA from 1 species
UACAGAGGGUGCGAGCGUUGUCCGGAAUCACUGGGCGUAAAGAGCUCGUAGGCGGUUUGUCACGUCGGCCGUGAAAACUCGGGGCUCAACCCCGAGCCUGCAGUCGAUACGGGCAGACUAGAGUGUGGUAGGGGAGACUGGAAUUCCUGGUGUAGCGGUGGAAUGCGCAGAUAUCAGGAGGAACACCGAUGGCGAAGGCAGGUCUCUGGGCCAUUACUGACACUGAGAAGCGAAAGCAUGGGGAGCGAACAGG